rnacentral:rRNA from 1 species
UGCAAGUCGAACGAAUCCCUUGUAGCAAUACGAGGGGGGAGUGGCGAAAGGGGCAGUAAUGCAUGGCUAACCUACCCCGGGGACGGGGAUAGCCUUCCUAACGGAAGGGUAAUACCCGGCGAUGUGGUGAGGGGGCAUCUCCUUGUCAUGAAAUGAGUUUCGCCUCGGGAGGGGGUCAUGUGCUAUUAGCUUGUUGGCGGGGUAACGGCCCACCAAGGCGAAGAUGGCUAGCGGGUGUGAGAGCACGACCCGCGCCACUGGCACUGAGACACUGGCCAGACUCCUACGGGAGGCUGCAGUCGAGGAUCUUCGGCAAUGGGCGCAAGCCUGACCGAGCGACGCCGCGUGCGCGAUGAAGGCCUUCGGGUUGUAAAGCGCUGUCGAGGGGGAGGAAAGCCGAAAGGUCUGACCUAUCCCUGGAGGAAGCACGGGCUAAGUUCGUGCCAGCAGCCGCGGUAAGACGAACCGUGCGAACGUUGUUCGGAUUCACUGGGCUUAAAGGGCGCGUAGGCGGCUUGCCAAGUCAGGGGUGAAAUCUUUCGGCUCAACCGGAAAACAGCUUCUGAUACUGGCAGGCUGGAGGGAGGUAGGGGCAGAUGGAACUUCCGGUGGAGCGGUGAAAUGCGUAGA